GCAGUUGGCUGUUCCAUCGUUCCGGCUUAUGCCGGAAAGGAAAGUCCGGACAACACAGGGCACCAUCCUUCCUAACAGGAAGAUAUCCGUGAGGGUAUAGAAGUGUAACAGAAAAUAACCGUCCGUUUAACGGUUAAUGCCGUCAGACGGGAAGGGUGAAAAGGCGAGGUAAGAGCUCACCGGUUCCGGUGGUGACACCGGAAGCCGUACACCUGAUGGGUUGAAAGAUCAAGUAUACCGGCGCUGAGGACUGCCCGUCCGAUGCCGGGGGGUGGAUCGUAUGACUCUGCAAGCAAUUGCAGAGCAAGAUAAAUGAUGGAAAUGGUUCAAAUAUCUCUUGCAGAUGACUGAACCAGACAGAAUCCGGCUUACAGGCCAACUGCAUAU
rnacentral:RNase_P_RNA from 1 species